AAGAGAGGAAAUCUGAGAAUCAAGUUCAACAUUAAGUUCCCAACAAGGCUAACAUCAGAGCAGAAAGCAGGAAUCAAAAAACUUCUAGCUUCCUGAGAUCAACUCUCAAAGGAAAGAGAGCAUGUUCUGUGAAUACACUAUUUAGGAACUAUGAGCACCAAAAUAGAAUGAGGUAUUGAGUGGUUUUUCGUGAUACAAUUUGUGGCCAAUUUAGUAACGGAUUUUGAUAUUCUCUGUCUGCUGCUGAGCAUUUGAGAAUUGCUGUCCUUUAACAUAGGUGAGUGUAUGUCUUUCUUUCGGAUCAUAGUUUGUCCUAAAUUUUAAGGUGAUAGCUCAUAAAUAUAUUCAAUAUCUGGUUGGAGUAUUCAAUAAAACAUGAUUCCGAUGAUUAAUGUUGGGAUC
rnacentral:misc_RNA from 1 species